rnacentral:misc_RNA from 1 species
GUUGCCUCUACCAAAAUGACUUAAACCAAUUAAGCUUGACACUUCUUUACUUAUAUUCUCUUUUAAAUUUUCAAUGUGGGACUAAAACAAUGAUACCAUUAAUUAAAUUAUAAUGGUUAUCAAUUAUUUAUAUAUAUAAACAAAAUUAAUAUAUUAAUAUAUAAAUGAGUUAGUUCAUGAGUCUCGCAGGCUAAUAAAUAAGCCAAUUCACAAGCCUAAACAAGCUGAGUAGUAGUAAGUUCAAGCUUAGCUUAUUUAUUAAAUGGGCUUAAAAAUUAAGCUCGAGUUUAACUCAUUAAGCAAACAAGCCAAACCAAACUUUUACUGAGCCAAUUCUUAAGCAGCUUGUGAGUAGUUCGGCUCGUUUACACCCUUUGAAUUAUAGAGAGAGAGGUAGCCUGUCUAUGAGGUGCAGUAAUCUGGGAAUUUUACCUUUUCUUUCACAGUUUUGAGUUGCUUGCAUCUGCAGCCGUUCAAGAUUAAGCAUUUGAAUUAGAUUGUUUGGAAAACAUGAUGAUAAGUGCAAUUAGCAAAAAUAUCUGUUGUCUUGAUACUGUCUGAUGCAUUUUUAUUGCAGGCUAUGGAGUUUGGUUUGAUUGAUGGCAUCCUGGAAACAGAAUACUGAACUGGGGUCUGUUCAUGUUUGGCCAUCAAAUACACAAAAAGGAAAUUAC